GCCGGGCGCGGUGGCGCACACCUGUAAUCCCAGCGACUGGCGAGGCUGAGGCUGCUGCAUCGUUGGAGUUCGGGGCUGCAGGGCGCUAGGCCGAGCGGCGGUCUGCACUAAGUUCGGCAUCAAUAUGGUGCAGCCGGGGGAGACCAGGUUGGCUAACGAGGGGUAACUCGGGCCAGGUCGGAAACGGAGCAGGUCAAAGCUCCCGCGCCGAUCAGUAGUGGGGAUCGCCCCUGUGACUAGUCCCUGCAGCGCAGCCUGGGCAAGACACGGUCUCU
rnacentral:SRP_RNA from 1 species